rnacentral:rRNA from 1 species
UACGUAGGGGGCUAGCGUUGUCCGGAUUUAUUGGGCGUAAAGAGCGUGUAGGCGGCCUGGUAGGUCUGCUGUGAAAACUCGAGGCUCAACCUCGAGAUGUCGGCGGAAACCAUCUGGCUAGAGUCCGGAAGAGGAGAGUGGAAUUCCUGGUGUAGCGGUGAAAUGCGCAGAUAUCAGGAAGAACACCUAUGGCGAAGGCAGCUCUCUGGGACGGUACUGACGCUGAGACGCGAAAGCUAGGGGAGCGAAUGGG